GACGAACGCUGGCGGCGUGCCUAAUACAUGCAAGUAGAACGCUGAAGAGAGGAGCUUGCUCUUCUUGGAUGAGUUGCGAACGGGUGAGUAACGCGUAGGUAACCUGCCUUGUAGCGGGGGAUAACUAUUGGAAACGAUAGCUAAUACCGCAUAACAAUGGAUGACACAUGUCAUUUAUUUGAAAGGGGCAAUUGCUCCACUACAAGAUGGACCUGCGUUGUAUUAGCUAGUAGGUGAGGUAAUGGCUCACCUAGGCGACGAUACAUAGCCGACCUGAGAGGGUGAUCGGCCACACUGGGACUGAGACACGGCCCAGACUCCUACGGGAGGCAGCAGUAGGGAAGCUUCGGCAAUGGGGGCAACCCUGACCGAGCAACGCCGCGUGAGGGAAGAAGGUUUUCGGAUCGUAAAGCUCUGUUGUAAGUCAAGAACGGGUGUGAGAGUGGAAAGUUCACACUGUGACGGUAGCUUACCAGAAAGGGACGGCUAACUACGUG
rnacentral:rRNA from 1 species